rnacentral:rRNA from 1 species
GAUGAACGCUGGCGGCGUGCCUAAUACAUGCAAGUCGAGCGAACAGAUGAGGAGCUUGCUCCUCUGACGUUAGCGGCGGACGGGUGAGUAACACGUGGAUAACCUACCUAUAAGACUGGGAUAACUUCGGGAAACCGGAGCUAAUACCGGAUAAUAUAUUGAACCGCAUGGUUCAAUAGUGAAGGGCGGUUUUGCUGUCACUUAUAGAUGGAUCCGCGCCGCAUUAGCUAGUUGGUAAGGUAACGGCUUACCAAGGCAACGAUGCGUAGCCGACCUGAGAGGGUGAUCGGCCACACUGGAACUGAGACACGGUCCAGACUCCUACGGGAGGCAGCAGUAGGGAAUCUUCCGCAAUGGGCGAAAGCCUGACGGAGCAACGCCGCGUGAGUGAUGAAGGUCUUCGGAUCGUAAAACUCUGUUAUUAGGGAAGAACAAAUGUGUAAGUAACUAUGCACGUCUUGACGGUACCUAAUCAGAAAGCCACGGCUAACUACGU